rnacentral:snRNA from 1 species
GGAUGUAAGGGUGAUCUGGCUGUGACAUCUGUCACCCCACUGAUCGCUAGGGUUGAUUCAGCUGAUCUGGCCGGCGAGGCAGGUGUCCCCUUCCUCCCUCAAUGAUCCAUGUGCGUCCCUCCCGAAGCUGCGUGCUCAGUUGAAGAGGAUGACCACCCCUGAUAGAGGAGGACCGUUGCUCGGUCAAAGGUACACGAGUAGCUGCGCUCCCCUGCUAGAACCUCCAAACAAGCUCUAUUGUUUUUAUGUAUUUAGUACAGGGCCUAUAGGGUCUCACUAUGUAGAUCGGACUCAUGAUCCUCCCAU